UGGUUAUAGUUUUACAUAUAAUUGAUGUGUACACAGAGAUAUUGGACUGUGUCAGUGAUUUCUGUAAUUCUUUAGCUGACACUCUUGGGUUCUUUUUUUACCUCUCUUAGUAUUCUGCGUUGAACUCUUGGCGUCAUCUUUGGUGGACGGCCACUCCUUGGGAGAGAAGAAACAGUGCCAAACUCUUUCCAGUUGUAGACAACUUCUCUGACUGAUGAACAUCCAGACUUUUAGAGAUGGUUUUGUAUCCUUUCAAAGCUUGAUACAAAACAACAAUCCUUGAUCGCAGGUCUUCAGGCAGCUCUUUUGACCGAGCCAUGAUGCACAUCAGACAAUGCUUCUCAUCAAGACAAUUCUUAGCAGUGGCUUCGCUGAGACUCAGGCAUCAAUAAUCCGGCACCGUCAUCACCAGCCAGCUGUGACUGUGGCAAGAGCGCGAACAUCUGUGAGGAUCACGAGGAUCCGUAUCGCUGGCGAGUCUAUUUAAGCUAUGUCGAUGGUCGGACCGAUGAGCAGCAAGAAAGCAGACGCGCCAAUGGGCAGUUUGCGCCGCCAUCCCUCGGUGAAUUUGAUGCAAAACGAUACAAAAUGUCUCAUGCUUGGAUCCCGACCGUCAGCGCAGCAGCUGACGUACGUCGUUUUAGUGGACGAAGCUGCAAGAAAAGACAAAGGGGACAGUUAGUCGUCAAAUGACAGACUGAAGAGACUGUCCACCGCCGGAGGAGCGCCAGAAAUCCCUCGGAUCAGUCGGGGUCAGUGCUCAUAAUUGUAAACUUUUCCACUAUGUUUAUUCCAGGCAAUGGACUUUCUUGUUUGCCGAAGAAGUUUCCCAUUCAAUUCAAAAGAUUUCUUCAGUUCAAAUUUUUAAAGUUGAAAAUCCAUCUAUUCGUGGCUUUAGGGCAAUCAACAGUAGUUUGUUGUUAGGCUUGUUAAUUGAGCAAUGAGUAUUUAACUUGUUUGUUGCAAUCUUUCAGUGAAAUGUCAAGGCAUUGUUACAGGUUGUGCCUCAAACGAUUAAAAAUUUUAAUCGAGUUAAUUACAGCUUAAAAAUUAAUCGCAAUUCAAACCAUCUAUAAAAUAUGCCAUAUUUUUCUGUAAAUUAUUGUUGGAAUAGAAAGAUGGAUAUAUACAUUCAACAUACGGUACAUAAGUACUGUAUUUGUUUAUUAUAACAAUAAAUCAACAAGAUGGCAUUACCAUUAUUAACAUUCUGUUAAAGCGAUCCAUGGAUAGAAAGACUUGCAGUUCUUAAAAGAAAAAUGUGAGUACAAUUUAUAGAAAUUUUAUAUUAAAACCCCUCUUAAUGUUUUCAUUUUAAUAAAAUUUGUAAAAUUUUCAAUCAAAAAAUAAACUAGUAGCCCGCCAUUGUUGAUGCCAAUAAUUACUUACACAAUGCUCAUGGGUGCUGAAGCCUAUAAAAUCAGUUGUACCCAAGCGCCAGCAGAGGACGACAAAACUCCGAAAAACGCAACAAGUACACAUUUCACUGUGCUGUCAUUUUAAUGUUUGAGCGGGGCAUGUGUGUUAACGCGAUAAUUUUGACAGCCCUAGUUUAAAGAGGACUUACUUUCAACCAAUGGUUUGAAAGAAGUCCUCUCCAAACAGAAGAGGAAGUUUGAAGCACAACUUGUGAAGGAAAAGAGUUUAUUAUUCCUUGUUACAGGUUGUUUUAUUCUUAUAACAAACAGAAGAUGAUGACAGAAUUCAGGAGUAAAUAAGAACAAAGAAUUUACACUUAAAGGCAGACUAGACAGAGUGUGUCCCGCCUCUCAGCUCCUACCCUUUUUCUUACUUCCCCUAAAGACUUGCUUGGAAUGUGCAACCCCCAGCCCCUGAUCAGAUUACAUACACUGGUAAGAGGACAAAGGGCCUGUGUGAAUAUUGGAUAGAAAGCAAAGUGGCUGCUCCCACAUAUGAUUAAUGUGAAUAAAUGGAAAUAUAGUUCAACACUUGUAACAUAUUUUCUGGAAGAUUGCAACAAAGCAAGUUAAAGACUUGUUUCAACAACAAACUACUGUUUAUUCCUCCAAUGGUAUGAACAUAUGGACUGGAAACUUUAAAAUUUUGAACUGAAGUCUUUUGGAUGAAAUAUGAAACUUGUACGACAAAGUCCAGUUGGGGCAUCAACCUAGUGGAAAAGUUUACAAUCGUGAGCGCUGACACCGACCGGUCUGAGGUGAUCGCCGAGAAGAAAGAAGACACCUGGGAAGGGGAUUCGGGGUGGAGGGUGUUGUGGAAACAUUAAUCAGACGGCGAGGUGUUGCCAACAAAUAAAACUUCGUAAACAUGUAGCGCACCUCCUCCAUGGUCAAGUGGUGAACAACCAUGCUACCGGUGCGUGGGCCCACGUACCAGCCACCUUCCAAAAAUUUGUGUUUAGUCAGGUGUAUCUGACAAUGUGGCUAGAAGUUCACUUUAUUGUCAGGUAUUCCUAUGGUACUAAAUCAAUGCCAAAAGUAUUGUAAUCUGAAAAACAGAACUUUAUUUACUUAUUACUAUAUACUUACGAGAGGCGUGUCGGAUUGUGAGAGACACCCUAUCAAAGCAACACCAUAUGAUGCUGCCUUCAGGAAACGUGGGUAGUUUGCAAGAUUAGGACGCCACACUCGCGCCACUUUUGUUAAAAUUCCUCCCGUUAUUGCUUUAGUUCCCUUCUGUCUACUUUUGACAUGUGAAAGUUUUAAAACUGUUUCAUCAUUUAAAGAUUCAUGUCAAGAUUUUGCCGAUUUAGCAGUAUUUUAGAUAAAAAGAUACUAAGGUUCGCUACAACAGAGCCUUCCUGAGGAGUGUACUGCUUUAAGAUGGCGACUGUGUACUAACGCAGUCGAGUCUGUCAUUUCGCAUCUAGUUCUAUAUACAGUGGGGCAAAUAAGUAUUUUGUCAACAACGGUAAACCUCAACCAAACAUGAGAGACAGAAUGUGUGUGUGUGGGGGGGGGAGAAAAUCACAUUAAAGAAUUUAGAGUAGAAAAUAAGUAUUUGGUCACCUACAAACAAGCCUAACUUCUAACGAGACUCCACUCGUUACCUAAUGUUUUUUGUGUCUAUCAUUGUUAUUUUUGUCAUAUCCAAAUGGAAUUAUCAUGGUAUUUUUGUUCUAAUAGUUUUUUAGUUUACUGUUCAAUUGUAUUGAAUGCAUCAUUCGCUGUCUCAAAACUCACAUUACCCAAACAUGUUUUGAAUUGACCUCGUAGUUUUUGAUUUACUGCCAUAGCAACGAGGGACGCGCCUCGCUGCCAACAGGCGCGCUCCUGUCACUCGUACAGCGAUUCGUCUACAGGUUUUCACGACCGAUGAGAAUCACCCAGGUAUGAGAUUUAUUAGUUAAAGCAGAGUAAAUGUAUUCAUAUGUUAAGUGAUGAGGAAACCAAAGUCCGCAGAAAACGCCUCCUGUUCGGUCAGUUGACAAACUGACAGUUUAUUUGGCUGGAAAAAAGGUCUAUGGUAAAGCACAUGACAUUUUUCAAUGCAUACUCACAGUAAAAGAAAGUCGUUUCCGUGUCCAUCGAUUGGUAUGGAGAGGCUGUGUUAUUUCGAUUGGUAAGAAAAAGCCGUUUUAUUUCGCUAAAGUAAAUACUUAUAACUUGUUCAAAAGUCAUUUCUGUACAGGCUCGAUGACAAUCCAAACAAUGUUAGCGAUCAUAGAAGUAAUGAGCUUCAUUGGUUUGAAAGAAUUUGGAGUCUAAUCGCAUUUUUCAGCACAAAACACCAGGACAGGUGUCAAUGUUAUCCAGAGAUAUGCUUAAAAUGAUGUUGGAUUAAAUAAAUGUACAAGUUAUAUUGCUUCAACAUUUUUUUAUAUAUGAAAAACAAAUUGUACAAUAUCAACUGAGGUAUAGAUGAACAACAACAUGUACAAUAUCAACACAUUGUGCUAAGGUAUGACAUUUUAAAUCAAAUAUAUACACCAUUGUAAAAACUAUUAGAAAAUGAAACUUGAACACAACCCUUGCCUUGCGUUGCCUUGCCCACUCCUCAAAGCAGGUCCAGCAGCCUGUGUUUGAAAAUAAAAAAUGUGUUGAUCAAAUGUUACAUGAAUAAAGAACUUAAUCAAGUCAAAAAUGUCAACCAAAAAGCCUUACAAUACAUGGUGUUUUUUGGAAGAAAAAAAGCCUUA